CCAUGAUGAGAGAUUGGAAGGGAGGCCUUUGGUAAAACACCCUUGUUCUCUCCAAGCCAUGCUCCAGCCCUGUCCUUCAUCACCCCGACCUUCCUGCCCUGGGACAUCCAAGUCAGUCUGAGGUCCCAGGAAUUCACACUAGACUUGUCCUAGAAUGACCCUGACUCCCUGCCAAGGGCUGGGUGGAGCCAGUCUUCCAAGGACAGGGUAUUUACCUGGGCUCCAUUGUUGAGCCUUUCAGCCAAAGCUCCUGGAGAUGAAGGUGGGGUGGGGAGGGGACCUUGGAAUCUACUACUAACUAUACCUAUGGCCAUUGGGAGGACUGACAUUAACCCAUAUCUUUGAUAGAGUACUAGGCUAAGUUAGGGACAUUUACAGGGGAAAAACCAAAGUGGAGGGCACUUUUCCGGGGACUGGAAGCUCUUGAGGAGAAGGCCAUAAAUUAAAAUGGUAAAUAAUCUCAAGGAAGGCCCCAUAUAGACCAGCCUAGAGAGGAAGAAAGGACUCCAAGUUACCCAUCCUCUGCAAAGCGUCACCAGGAAGAGAAUACAGUCCUGGGGCUCCUUCCCUAGCCUACACUAUCCCCCCCAAACGUGUGCCCUUUUGGCACUGGUCAAUCUAGGUUCCUCUUGCUCCAUACCAAACACCCCCCCACCCCAAUCAGUUCUCUUCCUUGGCCCCUUUAGCUUCUCCCUCCCCUCCCUGGGGUGGGCGUUUCUCUACUGACAGCAUUGACAGGAAAUGCUUCUCAUUCCAUCCUCCAGCUCUGGGGCUCCCAGGGAUAGACAGAUAGACCUCCCCCUUCCCGCCUCUGGAGAGAAACAUAGCCCAAGGUCCGGGAGGCCACAGAAGGAGAGGAAAAGGGGUGGGUGAUUCUCGGUCCAGCUCUUCUCCACCUCCCUUUCCCAAGGGGACAUCACGUGUGCUGGAGGGGGGAGGCAGGGAUACUGAAGGUUGGGGGAGGGAUGUGGAAACAGCUGAUUCGUCCAGAGGCCACACACUUUCCAGCAAUCAGCUGUUACCAGGGCUAAAAGCAGGAAGUUUCCUUAAAGGGACAAGCUGCUUCUGCCCGGCCUGAGAGUCACUGAAUCUUAGAGCUGGAAAGAUCUCUAAGAUCUAGUCCAACCCCCUCGUUUGACAGAUAAGGAAACAGUCUUUCCUCUAUCUCCCUCCCAAGCCCAAUUUGAGCUGAAGAAUAUGCCGAGGGCAGAAACCACCGCUGGAAGAGGAAAGAAAGCGGACCUAGGGGGAAGGAAAGUCUGACUUUAAGCCAGGUGACCCUGUUCGAGUCAUCACCCCUCUCAGACUCAGUUUCCUCAUCUGGAAAACGAGGGGGCUGAAACCAAGGGCAUCUAAGGUCUCUUUCAAACUCGAAAUCUAUGUUCCUAUCAUCUGUGUCUCAGUCUCCUCUGUAAAAGAAGGUUGAACCUAAUGGGCUCUUAGAUCCUUUCCAGCUAUAAAUCAUUAUUAGCCUUUAAGCCCUGGCUGCACAUUCAGCUCCUACCCUUCCCCCCCUCCAGGUAUGUCCCUUUAAAUAACCUGUAAAGUCAUCGACUCAGAGUCGCUUUUGCCAAGUCAUUGGGUUCAGCUAAGUUUGCCUAUCCUUCCCACUCUGGGCUCUGAUUGGUCCCUGGGGAAGAAGCUGCUUCCUUAUUGGCCUUCACCUUUGCAACAGCUCCUAGCUUGAGUCAAGGGAAGGAUUUUUUUUUCUUUCUGAAGGGAGGGGUGAGGAAGGAGGGAGGGGGAGCAGGCACCCCUCCAGCUCAGCUAGUUCCCAGGUUUGUGGCAGGAAGCCGCCCCCACCCAGCUGAGGGCUGAGCUGAAGCAUCUCCACAGAAGCCGUCCCAGGGGAGGUUUGGGGUUCAUUUGUUGUUGGGCCUGGAAUCCCUCAGCCAAGGAGAAGGUCCAUAGAGAAAGGCAGAAGCCAGAACCGCUGAAGGUGGUUGGGGCUGUACUGAGCCCUUUUCUCCGUGCCCACCGUCACACCUCCCGGCAGACUUUCCCCAUUCAGGGACUUUAAAGUGAGGAUCCUUUGGAACACUCAUGCUCAUAACUGUCUGCCCCCUGACCCCACCCCUCUCUUCCAUGAAACUGAUAAGCCGGCUGUCCAGGGUUUACUCUUUCGCCUCCCUUUCCCCUCUUCCUUCCCCCAGGAAUAGCUGGUAACCACGUUUAGGUGAGUGCUUCUCUCCGUAGGCUGUGCUUAUCCAGAGGUCAAGCACUGCCAAGCCCUGCCCCCCGUGCCUCGGGGUACAAGUUCUUCCCCCUCCACGUGUCGAGGCCUCUCCUUUUCAGUUGUGGCCACCCUUCCCUCGGGGGGCUCCUGCCCCAACUCCUCCUCCACGGAGGCUGAGUGGGAAUCCCCUCCUGCCCCUGCCACUUAGCCCACUCUUGGGGCCCAUCUAAGGGGAGCAGGUUUUCCCCCUUGGGGGAGGGGCGCUGGCCCUUUAAGGACUUUUCUGGGCUAGGAUCCGGGUUGAGUUUAAAAAUGCCAACUCACAGAGCGCCCGGGAUGCUGGGAACUGUAGUGCCAGCGUGAGAACUACGCUAGCCGACAUGCACUGCGCCCACCAUCACUGUCUUCCUCUUUGUCUCCAAGUAGCUGGUUGGCUUAGCGGAGCGCUAAUCAAAAUAAGAAGCCUGAACUGAGGGCUGGGUGUGGGUCUUUCCACCUAUUGGCCAUCUCGCGAGUUGGGAGGCAUGGUUCAAAGCCGCUGUGCUCGGAAGGAAGCGGAUGACCUCGGUGUCAAUCAGAGCUGAAAUGGCCUGGUAGGCGGGGACAAGGGCGGGGUUGGAGCUCCCUGAGGCGUGGCCACGUUCGCCAUCGGUGGGUGGUGAUUGGCUGAGGGCGGUGCAACCGGGUGUCGUGCGUCACGACGCCGCCAGCUGAUCGGAGGCUGGAGCCGGUGUAUGCUGGGCACUGGGGAGAGACGGCGGCGCCGGCCGAGGGGAGCGGACGCGUGGGAUUCGCUCUCUCCCAAUACAGCUCCCCCCCAGCUCUCGGGCUCCGGCGCCCCCGCCCGGGACCAGGAUCCUGUGCCCCCACACACACUCCUGGCCGAGCCACAGCAGUUCUUCAGUGGCGAGCUUUAUGUCUUGUCCCAGCUAAAGCUGCCAGUUGAAGAACUGCUGAGCUCUGCUCCUGUCUUCGAGGACUGAGGAAGAGCCGCUGCCCUGCCAUCUAGAAGUCUGUUCCAGGAAAACUGGCCUGCUACCUGUUCCCGGUACAUAACAUUCCAUCUGCUGCCUUUGUACAGGUGGCCCCCGAAGUCUGGAAUUCUCCCUCCUCAAAUCAAUCCCUAGCCUCUUUCAGUGACCAACUCAGGUGCCCCCUCCUGCCUGCCUUGCUCAGGGUCAAUGGCUAGACUCUAGCAUUCGGCUCGAAGUCAGAAAUACCUGAGUUCAUACCCCACCCAGCACACCCACUGCUUCAUCCUAGGCAAGUUAGCUUCACCCGUCGCCUGGGAAAAGAAGGACUCACAUUCAGCUAUCUGAGGUUUCCCAUCCAGUUCUAAAUGGAUGAUCAUUCGGUCCCCCUCAGUUAUUAGCACUUGCUGCUGUUGGAAUUACAUGAUUGCUUUGUAUUUGUUUUUGUACCGGUUUUUCCUCCUCCUCCUUGUCCUCUAGAAUGUAAGCUCACGGAGGGCAGGGACUGCUUCUUGUUCGUCUUUAUACCGCUAGCGCUGGAGGUGCUUAAUAAACGCUUGUUGGUUGAC